UAGCACCACAUGAAUUCCAAGCCUUCCAUACUUGCAAGGCUACUUUCCCAAAUAUUUGUUCUCAGAUCAGAGCGCUCGAAAGUUCAAUCGCAACCUCCUCUGCACCUUUCUCCUUCUAUCUCUCUUUCCCUCUCUAUUAAUUUUCAGUUUUCCAUAGACAUAUGGUUCCUCUCUUCCUCUCUAUCAUCUAGAUCUGAAUUUAUACAAUCAUGGACACACUUUAAAGACCCUUCCGAUGCAAUGGCAGACUUCAAGGAAAAGCGAUGGUACUUCUACUUCAGUGGAUUAGAGUGAAAUGCUUAUCUCAGUUGGAGUAGAGAAAUGGGUCUUACUGGAAGGCAAAAUGAAAACGGCCCGUCAAAAUUGGAUCUUGAACAUCUAUCAGUUUUUAGGAGUUUGUGUGAAUUUUGGGUUUUUUUUUCCUGAUUUUAUUCUAUGUGGUCUUGUCUGUAUGAUUGGAAAGUUCAAUUUCUGAUGUACUUUCAGGGGAGUUUGGCUGUAGCAGCAGGGAAGUGGGGAAGUGGGUGGCUUUCAGGUGGCACCGCCGGCUCAGUAUAACCCAUUAGACGAGCCGAGUCCAUUGGGAUUGAGGCUGAGGAAAAGUCCUUCCCUUUUGGAAUUGAUCCAAAUGAGGCUUUCUCAAGCUAAUUCACCUAAGGGUGCAAGUUCCAGUAAAAAAGAGCUUAAAGGGGCCGCUGCUUCUGGUUCCUCUGAGAAGCUCAAGGCUUCAAAUUUUCCAGCAACUAUUCUGCGAAUUGGGACCUGGGAGUAUAAGUCAAGAUAUGAAGGGGAUUUGGUAGCAAAGUGUUAUUUUGCAAAGCAUAAGCUUGUACGGGAGGUUCUUGAUGGCGGGCUCAAGAAUAAGAUUGAAAUUCAAUGGUCUGAUAUAAUGGCUUUGAAGGCGAAUUAUCCUGAUGACGGACCGGGGACUUUGGAUGUAGUGCUUGCAGGACAACCUCUUUUCUUUAGGGAGACAACUCCCUAAAAUCACCUCUGAAUUCUGAAUUCUCUGACCAUCUGACUUCCUUCACCGCAAUUUCUUAAUGCUUUUAAUCUCUCUUCACUGACAACUCACUCACAAGCCUCGCCUUACAUAUCUGUCCCGAAUUUGCCAGAAGACAUACUGACCCAUUCAUUUUCUUCCUCCCCACCCUUUGGCCUUCACCGAAGGAAUCCAAGGAAAUCUUUCUUUGAGAACAAAAUUCUUAGAGAAGGGGAAAAAAAGGGAUGAGGGACUGCAAGAUUUUUUGUUCUCUCAUUAGCAGUUGCAUUCUUCUUGUUUCUGUUCUCAAUGGAGCAAAUGCUGAUAACCCAUAUAGGUUCUACACUUGGAAAAUCACUUAUGGUGAUAUAUACCCAUUGGGUGUCAAACAACGGGGAAUCUUGAUAAAUGGGCAGUUUCUAGGGCCACACAUUGACUGUGUCACCGAUGAUAACUUGAUUAUCAGUGUUUACAACUACUUGAACGAGCCUUUCCUUAUUUCUUGGCAUCAUUUUCUGCAGUGUCCACAAGGCUUGUUGGGAAAGCAUUUCGAAAAGCUUAUUCAAUGUGAUCCUCGUCUUAACUUCCUGAGUAAAUAAGGAGAGAUAACGUUGGAUUCUCCAUAUUUUGAACUCAGAAUCUCUGUGUUUGAUGACCCAAGUGAAAACAAAGCUGCAUUUGAUUUGAACAAUCAUGAGAGUCCCACUGUCUUCAACUUGAGGGGAUGCAGCAUCACCAUCAGGUGGUCAAUCAUCAUCUUCGAGGAAUGAACAAGACAUUGUUAGUAGACCUCGAGAAGACAUGAAACACCAUCACCCAGCUCAGUAAUGGAUACGCAUGUAAUUGAAGAAAUAAAAAUGGUGGAGGAGAACAAACAUGAUAUGGUUAUGAAGCUCUCACAAGCUACUUCGAUUAUGGACUUCGCCAAUUAAUGCAAACAUGAUACUCAUUGUAUAUUGGCACAGGGUCUAUCUUAGCAUUUGUUAUCCCUAGCAAUUUUGGUUGUACAUAUUAAAGCCCAAUUAGAAUUUGAUUUGAGUAUCUUUGUGCUUUGUACUGUUGAUAGUAUUGGUUGUAAUAUAUUAUUGCUCGUUUUGUAUUUGUAAUGACAAAUUGGUUUGUUAUUUCGUAUACAAAUUUUGC